AGCAGGGUAAAGGCCUUCCUAUUGGAUUACCACAUUCAGUUCCCAGGGACUAGACACGCUGUGCCAUGUAACGUAUUUUACAUUGCUAGGGAGUUAUUGGAGCCUGAGGAUAGCAGCAUUUUUCUGCCUUCUGACUAUUGUGCUGACAGAUAGUUUUUGCUAUUACAUUUAUUUGGAAAGGAAAAUAAGCAAAUGCAAACAUUCAGAGUUGUUUUCCUCCUUCAGAUUUAAAAACAGAAUUUUUCCCUCAUAUUGUUCUACACUGAAAUGUGACAUAGUAAAGCUGUCUAGAGCCACAGUCUGUCCUGUCUUGAGAAAAAAAUAACAUCACCUCCGAGUGAAGCAAAUAAAAACUGGACUCCUUCCACUGGAUGGGAACCAAAGAGCUGCAGUAAUGAUCCCCAUGUUUCCUCUGCCAGACGAGGCAGGUAGGAGAGCGAGUCGCUGUUUGUGUGAGCAUCACAACCCGUUUUGUUCUUUUCAGAUUUUCAGUUCCAGGAUUUUCUGACAGCUUCUAUUGCCAUACGGCCCUGCGUGGGACAGGACAGUGUCGCAUGUGAGGAAAGGCAGACAGACAACAGAGGGAACCAGGCAGCUGAGCGAUAUACGUGUUUUAAAUGCAACAUACUGAAGCACCAUGUGGACAACUUGUGAAAGCCGACUAAGGAUCAGAUCAUGGCAGAAGACACCAAAACCAAUUUGUGGACUGUUCCACUAAGCAGCCUUUCUAUUUCGUGUUAAAGACGGGCAUAAAUGUAAUAUGGACUUCAAAAAACUUUUGUGUUUAAUAUUAGAGGUACCAAAAUAAGGGUCAAUGUAAAGAAGUACCGUAGCAACCACACCAUGUGAACAGAGAAGGCCGUUUCAGAAGUACUGUACCCACUACCUAUUUGUCUAUGACUGCUUACACACACUGACCAACACUCUCCCCCUCCUCUUUGUUUUUGGUUUAUCGUUCCUUAAACAAACCAAUAUACUCAGGCAGAGAACAAAGCAACAGUGACUGUCCCCAGAAGAACUAUGAAAGCAGAUGAAUGUGUUCAUGCAUCCACAGCUGUGGGACACGACGACACGGCCUUUAACUGGUUAGAAACAAUGCUGCAAUGCAAAGACUGCAGUGCAGUACGACGGUGUCACAACGGAACAAUGCCAGCUGUUAGAAACCAAGUACAGUGAGUGGGCCUGGCCUAGCCAUCUAUGUUAACUUUGGAUCCAGUUUCUGAUCUGGCCAUCCUGGAAGGACUUUGUUAUGGGGUAAGAGCAAAUUGCAAGUGGCAGUGUGGGCUGUGAAGGAAAGCAAUACAUCCACAGAUUUACAAAUCUUAACAGACAAAUACUGAUAUAAAAAUGAUAACCUUACAAAAAAACAAAAAAACAAAAAAACAAAAAAACAAAAAAAAAACCCCAAAAACCCAUAAUUUGCAUACAAGGCUGAUAAAUAUUCUGAAACGUUACAAUAAAUAGCACACAGUUGUAAAAACAGUAAAUGGUUGUAUUUCUCACACCGCAGUACAGCAAUAGAAAAUACUAACUUCUUAAAUCACAACCUGCUAUGUGCCACAGCAGGAAACAGAAGUGGCCAGCUAACCUGCCUGUUAGAUACACACUGAGAAAGUAGUUACAUUAUAGACAAUCGAGGAAAGAGCACCUAUUGUACAGAUGAUAUAUAUUUCUCAUAUAAGUAAUCUUAAUAAGUAGUAACUCUGAGUUUUAGCACCUAUCAGUUAAUAGCAUUACUAUUGUGUUAAGAUAUACUUUUCUCUCAAAACUGCCGUCUUAAAUAAGGUAGACCUGAACUUGCUGAAAUUCUGCUGGUGCCGUCACUUGAGCAGUGGCUUGCCACGAGCUAUGUUUGGAGGUAUCCUUUCAGAUCUACCUUUCACUUCUUUCUCACUUCUUUGAGGGAAGCUGCUGGUUUUUGAAUGGAACAUUUUCAUCCUUAAGUUUCUAAUAAUACCUAAGUUAAACCUGGACAUUUAUA
ensembl:lncRNA